rnacentral:rRNA from 1 species
UGGGGAAUAUUGCACAAUGGGCGCAAGCCUGAUGCAGCCAUGCCGCGUGUAUGAAGAAGGCCUUCGGGUUGUAAAGUACUUUCAGCGGGGAGGAAGGGAGUAAAGUUAAUACCUUUGCUCAUUGACGUUACCCGCAGAAGAAGCACCGGCUAACUCCGUGCCAGCAGCCGCGGUAAUACGGAGGGUGCAAGCGUUAAUCGGAAUUACUGGGCGUAAAGCGCACGCAGGCGGUUUGUUAAGUCAGAUGUGAAAUCCCCGGGCUCAACCUGGGAACUGCAUCUGAUACUGGCAAGCUUGAGUCUCGUAGAGGGGGGUAGAAUUCCAGGUGUAGCGGUGAAAUGCGUAGAGAUCUGGAGGAAUACCGGUGGCGAAGGCGACCCCCUGGACGAAGACUGACGCUCAGGUGCGAAAGCGUGGGGAGCAAACAGG